GAAGCUGGAGCUGAAACAACCGA
rnacentral:rasiRNA from 1 species